UAUAAAGAACAGACCCUUUAAUAUAUUCCCGUUUUAUGUGUGUAGUGUGCAGUCAGUGUCAGUGCAGUGCAGUGUUGUGCGAGUUGCACAGAAUUGUAUAUACAAAAAGCAAUUUUAUAAAAGAAAUUUUAUUUAUUAUUGUUGAUUCUUUUUUAUUUACUCUGCACAGCAAUGGCAGAGAAAAAUAAUCCGAUAUACAAGUUUGCGAAUGCUUUACAUUACGUAUUAGAUACGCCGGUCACUUAUAUCCGAGAGAAAUUCGUAGUGCCGAAUCAAAAGAAAUAUCCAUGGUACCACCAACAAUACCGUCGUGUUCCAACGAUCGACGAAUGUUACACCGACGACGUGGUCUGUUAUACCGAGGCAAAUUGUCAAUUCAUGCGCGAUAAAUCAGUAGAUGAUGAAAUAUUAUUCAUAUUGAGAAGUCGUUUCGAACAGUGUGCUUUUUAUCACGGCGAUGACGAUUAUUUAUGCGAUGAUUUAAAGAAUACCUACUUCGACGCGGCUGGUGCAUGGUUUACAAAAUAUGGCGAUAUGGGUAUAGGUUUGAAUGUUAAAAAUGCAUAUAUGAAGCAGAAACAUCGUAUGAUUUGGGAGCGUCGGCAUGGUCCAGUAGGUAGUGGCAUGAGAGAUCAAGCGACUAAGGCGUAGCAAUUUAUAUUGACAUUGUAGAUGAUAAUUUAAUGGCAAACGCAUUCACAUAUUAUGGGCCAGAAUUGCAGCUACUUACGGGGCUUACUAGAAGUGCUGUGGCAAUCGCUGCUUUCAUCAUCAUCGAUAGUAUUAUCUUCGCUUUCGGAGCUUGCAAGAUUGAGAUGCGUUCUCACAGCAAUCUUUUUCUGAUUAUCCACCGAUAUCUUCUUUUUGGGUG